ACGUAGGGAGCGAGCGUUGUCCGGAGUUACUGGGCGUAAAGCGCACGCAGGCGGUCUUUCGCGUUCGUGCCGACAGCGACUCGCCUAACGAGUCGAGGAGUACGGAAACGGGGAGACUUGAGGGCCAGAGAGGGACACGGAACUCCGGGUGGAGUGGUGAAAUGCGUAGAGAUCCGGAAGAACACCAAAGGCGAAGGCAGUGUCCUGGUUGGUACCUGACGCUCAGAGGCGACAGCUAGGGGAGCGAACGGGAUUAGAUACCCCGGUAGUCCUAGCCGUAAACGAUGACCACGAGAUGUCCGGGGGAUCGACCCUCUGGGUGUCGAAGCAAACGCAAUCAGUGGUCCGCCUGGGGAGUACGGUCGCAAGAUUA
rnacentral:rRNA from 1 species